UACGGGGGGAGCAAGCGUUGUUCGGAUUUACUGGGCGUAAAGGGCGCGUAGGCGGUCAGCACAAGUCAGUUGUGAAAUCUCCGGGCUUAACUCGGAACGGUCAACUGAUACUGCGCGGCUAGAGUGCAGAAGGGGCAACUGGAAUUCUCGGUGUAGCGGUGAAAUGCGUAGAUAUCGAGAGGAACACCUGCGGCGAAGGCGGGUUGCUGGGCUGACACUGACGCUGAUGCGCGAAAGCCAGGGGAGCGAACGGG
rnacentral:rRNA from 1 species